rnacentral:rRNA from 1 species
ACCCGCUGAACUUAAGCAUAUCAAUAAGCGGAGGAAAAGAAACCAACAGGGAUUGCCCUAGUAACGGCGAGUGAAGCGGCAAGAGCUCAAAUUUGAAAUCUGGCCCCCUUGGGGGUCCGAGUUGUAAUUUGCAGAGGGCGCUUUGGCAUUGGCAGCGGUCCAAGUUCCUUGGAACAGGACGUCACAGAGGGUGAGAAUCCCGUACGUGGUCGCUAGCCUUUACCGUGUAAAGCCCCUUCGACGAGUCGAGUUGUUUGGGAAUGCAGCUCUAAAUGGGAGGUAAAUUUCUUCUAAAGCUAAAUACUGGCCAGAGACCGAUAGCGCACAAGUAGAGUGAUCGAAAGAUGAAAAGCACUUUGGAAAGAGAGUUAAAAAGCACGUGAAAUUGUUGAAAGGGAAGCGCUUGCAGCCAGACUUGCCUGUAGUUGCUCAUCCGGGUUUUUACCCGGUGCACUCUUCUAUAGGCAGGCCAGCAUCAGUUUGGGCGGUUGGAUAAAGGUCUCUGUCAUGUACCUCUCUUCGGGGAGAACUUAUAGGGGAGACGACAUGCAACCAGCCCGGACUGAGGUCCGCGCAUCUGCUAGGAUGCUGGCGUAAUGGCUGU